rnacentral:rRNA from 1 species
CUGCCGGAGGCUAUUGCUAUCGGGGUCCGAUUCAGCCAUGCUAGUUGUACGGGUUUAGGCCCGUAGCAAAUAGCUCCGUAACACGUGGUCAAACUACCCUCUGGACCGGGAUAUCCUCGGGAAACUGAGGUCGAUCCCAGAUACUGCUUUCAUGUUGGAACACAGAAAGUCGGAAACGGUCCGCCGCCGGAGGACGUGACUGCGGCCGAUUAGGUAGACGGUGGGGUAACGGCCCACCGUGCCGAUAAUCGGUACGGGUUGUGAGAGCAAGAACCCGGAGACGGUAUCUGAGACAAGAUACCGGGCCCUACGGGGCGCAGCAGGCGCGAAACCUUUACACUGCACGCCAGUGCGAUAAGGGGACCCCGAGUGCGAGGGCAUACAGUCCUCGCUUUUCGUGACCGUAAGAAGGUCUCAGAAUAAGAGCUGGGCAAGACCGGUGCCAGCCCGCCGCGGUAAAACCGGCAGCUCGAGUGAUAGCCACUNUUAUUGGGCCUAAAGCGUCCGUAGCCGGCCGAACAGGUCCGUCGGGAAAUCCACCCGCUCAACGGGUGGACGUCCGGCGGAAACCAGUCGGCUUGGGGCCGGGAGACCAGAGAGGUACGUCCGGGGUAGGAGUGAAAUCCUGUAAUCCUGGACGGACCGCCGGUAGCGAAAGCGUCUCUGGAGAACGGACCCGACGGUGAGGGACGAAAGCUUGGGUCUCGAACCGGAUUAGAUACCCGGGUAGUCCAAGCUGUAAACGAUGCUCGCUAGGUGUGGCGUUGGCUACGAGCCAGCGCUGUGCUGUAGGGAAGCCGAGAAGCGAGCCGCCUGGGAAGUACGUC